CCUCAAGUCGGGCGGGAAUACCCGCUGAACUUAAGCAUAUCAUUAAGCGGAGGAAAAGAAACUAACUAGGAUUCCCUCAGUAGCGGCGAGCGAAGUGGGAAAAGCUCGAGGCAUGAAUUGGUAAAUGGCAUUUACUGAACUGUAGCCCGGAGGGGCGCAAUCAGGGGAAGCCCGUGAUCCAAGUCCCCUGGAAUGGGGCACCAGAGAGGGUGAAAGUCCCGUUUAUGGUCAAGGUUUGCUUUUUCUGGCGAUGCGCCCCCGUCGAGUCGAGUUGCUUGGGAGUGCAGCUUUAAUAGGGUGGUAUACUUCAUCCAAAGCUAAAUAUGGGCAAGAGACCGAUAGCGAACAAGUACCGUGAGGGAAAGGUGAAAAGAACUUUGAAAAGAGAGUGAAAAAGGGCCUGAAAUUGUUAAGAGGAUAAGUGGUUGGAGCAUAUCAUAUCAUACGGUCACAAAAGGUCCUCCGGGAUUGGUAUGGCCGUGUGGUUGGUCAGCAUCUAUUUCUGGGGGGGGAGAAUGCUUUUGCGAAGGCCUUCGGGCUGACGUGUUAGUGAAACCCUGCUGGAGAUAGAGGCACAAAGAGCGCGCAUAGCGGCCGGCCCCUUUUGCGGUGUGUAAUGUUGGGUCGAUCCUUCGGGCAUUUACUUUUCAUUGGGCUUCGACUUGAGGGAGCGCUGGACCUGCGUUCUGAAGAUGCUGGCACAAAUGGCUUCAACCAGCCCGUCUGGAAACACGGACCAAGGAGUCUAACACAUAUGCGAGUAGUAAGGUGGCAAACCUUGGAUGCGCAAUGAAAGUAACGUGGUGGGAUUCGUAAGAUGCACCAUCAACCGACCAGGAUCUUUUGUGAAAGGUUUGAGUAAGAGCAUAUAUGUUGGGACCCGAAAGAUGGUGAACUAUGCCCGAGUAGGAUGAAGCCAGAGGAAACUCUGGUGGA
rnacentral:rRNA from 1 species